rnacentral:rRNA from 1 species
UACGGAGGGGGCGAGCGUUAUUCGGAAUUAUUGGGCGUAAAGGGCGCGUAGGCGGCCGGAUAAGUCAAAGGUGAAAUCCCUCGGCUCAACUGAGGAACUGCCUUUGAUACUGUUUGGCUCGAGUCCGGGAGAGGUGAGUGGAACUCCGAGUGUGGAGGUGAAAUUCGUAGAUAUUCGGAAGAACACCAGUGGCGAAGGCGACUUACUGGACGAUUGUUGACGCUGAGGUGCGAAAGCGUGGGGAGCAAACAGG